rnacentral:rRNA from 1 species
UACGUAGGGCGCAAGCGUUAUCCGGAAUUAUUGGGCGUAAAGAGCUCGUAGGCGGUUUGUCGCGUCUGCCGUGAAAGUCCGGGGCUCAACUCCGGAUCUGCGGUGGGUACGGCAGACUAGAGUGAUGUAGGGGAGACUGGAAUUCCUGGUGUAGCGGUGAAAAUGCGCAGAUAUCAGGAGGAACACCGAUGGCGAAGGCAGGUCUCCUGGGCAUUAACUGACGCUGAGGAGCGAAAGCAUGGGGAGCGAACAGG